UUAAAACGCCGGUUCUCGUAUGAUCAUCGAAGUUAAGUAACGUUGGGCCUUGUCAGUAUCUGGAUGGGUGAGCGCUUGGAAAUACAAGGUGCUGUAUUC